CCAGGCGGCUGAUUUAGCGGCUUCCCUACGGCACAGCACCSACUCGUAGUGGGUGCCACACCUAACGAGCAUCGUUUACAGCUAGGACUACCCGGGUAUCUAAUCCGGUUUGAGACCCUAGCUUUCGUCCCUCACUGUCGAAKCCGUCUUCUCAGAGUGCUUUCGCCAUCGGURGUCCGUCCGGGAUUACRGGAUUUCACUCCUACCCCGGAMGUACUCUCUGAGCCUUCCGGUUCCAAGCCAGGCAGUUUCYACCGGACGCCCACCSGUUGGGCVGGUGGAUUUCCCGAUGGACUUGGUUGGCCAGCUACGGACGCUUUAGGCCCAAUAAUAUGGGACAUCACUCGAGCUGCCGGUAUUACCGCGGCGGCUGGCACCGGUCUUGCCCAGCUCUUAUUCGUUGACCACCUUACAGUCAACAAAAGACGAGGGCUAAUAUGCMCUCGCACUUGGGAUUCCCCUAUCGCACUUCCGUGCAGUGUAAAGGUUUCGCGCCUGCUGCACCCCGU
rnacentral:rRNA from 1 species